UGUUGGAGAUGUGCACAUGUGCCUUAGUCUGCAGAACAAGUCUUUAGGAAUGUUUUGUUUGUUGCUUGUUUUUAGGAAAUCAGUUGCAUAUGUUUAGGAGCGGUUAUGAUGUAGUGGGUUAUGCUUUGAGGUCAUGUGAACAUGGUUGUUAUGAUUUUUUUCUUAUAUAUACAUUCAGCAAUAAAGAAGUAGAUGUAGACUUCCCAAAUACAUCAAAAUCUAACAACAA
rnacentral:lncRNA from 1 species